GGCUCCGAACGUCUCCUGGGGAGCGGCAUGAUUGAAUCAGGGAUUCCCUAGCCCCAGGUCCCCUUCUCCGUCAUUCUCAGGACGAGGCUGCCCAGUUCUCAGGAAAAUGUGAAAAGAGAGACUGGCCUAGCCUCCCAGCCUACAUCUUUCUCCCAUCCUGGAUGUUUCCUGCCCUUGAAUGUUGGACUCCAAGUUCUUCAGUUUUGGAACUCGGACUGUCUCUCCUUGCUCCUCAGCCUGCAGACGGCCUAUUGUGGGACCUUGUGAUCGUGUUGUUGUGGUGGUAUUACUACUACUCAGCAAGAUUCUGGUUUUACUUCUCAUCUUGGGAGUUACCAUCAAGACGUUAGGUAUGGCUGUGUGACCCACUUUGGCCAAUGAAAUGUGAACAGAAAUGGCAUAUGUCACUUGUGGACAAAAACAUUUAAGCAAGAAUUUCCCUUGCUGUCUUCCUUGACUGGAGCGACCAUGGAAGCCUGUGUUGAGAUGAAGAGGCUGCCAACAGAUCAAAACACUUGAAAACUUGAGCAGCCACAUGGACUACAACUGUGCUGGAGACUUGCCUGGACCCACAGCAGGCUUGGUAUGCAUGGGGAAUAGAAUUUUGUUGUAUUACACUCCUCAGAUUUGGAUGUCAUUUGUUAUUACAGCAUUACCUAGCCUAUAUCUUUCCCUCCCACGCCCCAAAUAGUCCCGAUUUACCCAGAGCCCAAGGUACAAGGAGAAGUAAUGCCUGGAUGUGAGAAAGAAAAAGAACUUCACAAAGGAUACCAGCUGAAGC
rnacentral:lncRNA from 10 species